CUUAAAGCCAACUACUUCAACUGUUAAUAAAUUACAUUGUAACAAGUGUCAAAUCUUGCAUCAACCACCCGGCCUAACCCUGAACUAAACUAGUCACCAGAAGAGGUAUCUUAUCUGCUGUGAGCUCCUUCUAUGACCCUCUGGGAUUCCUGUCUCCAUUCACGGUACUUGCCAAAGCACUGCUGCAGCAGCUGAUGAAGAGAGGCCUACUUGGGACGAGCCCGUCCUGGAACUGUAUGCCUGCAAGUGGUCUGCAUGGCUAAAUGACUUAAAACAGCUGUCAACCUGCAACAUCCCAGCUCCACCAAUUCGCAGACGCAAGUGAGAUAGGAUACGACACACAGUAGUAUGCAACCAACAGUGAGGCAAACUGAUCACUGGUUCACAGCCGCCUGGAACUGAGGGCACACAAGCUAUUUAUACUGCAGCUGGGGUUGAUUGAAGAGUCUUGAUUGGUAGACUUGGUCGAAUCACAGCCACACCAAACACAGACGCCAGUGAACAGGAAGCAGGAGGUAGACAGCCUCUACUCCAGAAGGACCAAUCCUCAACAGGGAAUCAUAAAGCUGGAUUUGCAUGCCUGGUAAUCACUCAUGGAAACAAUACAAUGAAUAUACACUAAACGGCAGCCAGCAGCGGCCGUGACAAUGGCCAGAGAAACCACAGUCGCUGGAAAUCAAAGAUGAUGACAUGGAGGUGAGGAAGUCAGUUACCACUAACCUCACCCAUGUAACCGAAAGUAUGGACUCUGUGAACAAGCUCAUUCAAUACUAUUCUAGCUGGUACAAGCUAAAGAAAGCCGUGGCAUGGAUGGUCAAGCUCAAGGAAAUGCUUCUACGAAUGAAAGCAAGAAGAGAAUUACCGGCAAAGGACAGCUACUCCCAAACUGAUGAAGAACCACAACAGGUGGUGGAGAUGAUACUAUGUUUCCUGUUCCUAAAUGAGACAUGAGGAACUCUGGUGGUUUUCCUGGAUGUUGUCGAUACCAGAAGAAAUAAUCACCAGCAGCUGCAGAUUUGCGAUAUUUGAAGGACAGAGAGACAGACGUGUGUUCUGAAGUGAACUCUUCAGUAAUGACUGGAGUCAGUUCUUCACAGUUGAUGCCUGAAGGAGAGAAUAAUGAUGUCAAAGACAAUUCACAUUCACAUGUUAUUGGAAUGAAAACGUUUUGUGUCUUAUAAUGUAACAAACCUGUUAGAGUGUUAAGAAGCAACAGAGAAAAUAUAGAGUGAUGCAGUGACAGCAUGUUGAAUAAAGGUCAUGUUAAUGGUUUGUAUCUUGAACUCUGCUGAAUAUGGAAGCUCCUCUCUCCUCUAUAGUUCAGUAACAACUCAGCUCCUCCCUGAAUCUCUACGUCUCCUCUUAGAUCUGUAUUUUCUCUUCUCUCUGUUACACUUCCUCCUGCUUCACACUGACUGCAGCAUUUAGUUCAAGCUGAAGGUGGACUGUCUUUAGUCUGUUUUUGGAAUAAUUGUGUUUUUGGACAUUUUCGACAUAAAACAGAGUCAUCAGCAAACAUGUGCAUCUAAACAUCAGGACACACUGCUGUCAAAUCAAUAAAGUAUAAACUGGGCCCA